GGAGGCAUAGCUCAGCCGGUAGAGCACCUGCUCCACACGCAGGGGGUCGCAGAUUCGAGUUCUGCUGUCUCCACCA
rnacentral:tRNA from 1 species